rnacentral:snoRNA from 1 species
GUUGCUAUGAUGAUUUUAUUAUGCCGCCCCAGUCUGAUUUUAAAAUGACUGAACGGCUUUUGUAAUCUGAG